UUCCUGGUGGCUCAGAUGGUAAAGAAUCUGCUUGCAAUGCAGGAGACCCAGGUUCAAUCCCUGGGUUGGGAA
rnacentral:tRNA from 1 species